GGCAGGAACUUAUCUAGACUAGAUCUAGAUCCAAAAUCAGGGAUGCGCUGUGCCAAAACCUUGAUAUAUUUUACAUCUUCUUACUUCAAACAUCAAAACAAAAGACUUACAAACAAUAAAAAAGUGAUGUCUUUUGUGUAAAUGCUUAUGUUGAAAGAGCCUUUUUCAAUGAUCAAUGCACAGUUGGCUUACUUAAUGGAUACAGAUAUUCAUCUCCAUGGAAACAGUGAGAAGCAUUUCAAGAAAAUGUGCAUGGAAUUUCACACCUGAGUUACUGCAAAAAGUCAUUUCGUCUGAGAGAAGAAUCCAAUGGAGUUUGUCCAAGAGAGCACCUUGUUUUGGGUAGGACUAUUCAGGCAGUAUGCAGUACUCAAGGUGGGAGCCCAUAUCUCAGUUAGUUCCGUUGUCACAAGAUUCUACACCUCUGAAGGAACUGAGGAAUUUCAUUAAAGAUGUUUAACAGGUACUCUGAUACAUAACAGAAAAUAAAUUGAAAGCCUCAGAUGGAUUGAGCUUAUCAAAAGUAAAACCAAACUCAAGACCAUAUAAGAAACACAGUGGGUCAGUGGCUCUGUCAUCUUCAGCAUCUUUCUAAUGAGGAGUUAAAUUAAUCACCAGGUGCAGGACUGACUACAUUUUCUAAGACUGCUAGGAUAUUGCCACUGAAUCAAACACCACCAUCAGAAAUAACUGAAAUAAAUAUUGAUGCUCUCAAGGCAAAUUUAAUAAAAUGUCCAGAAUGGCUCCAUUUGUCAAUGACAUUAUGCUUGAAACAGACAGCAACCUCAUUGUCAAUUAUGGACACAGUGUGAUUGACCUAGAGUUGAGAGAGAAAAGAACAUCCAAGCAAGGUCUCAAAUGUCAGUGUUUGAAAAAAACAUGAAGCUGAAUAUCACCAGUAAUGCAAAAUGUGCAGAAAGCUGGCACCCACACAUUUCUUUAAGAGUGUGAGCAUGAUGUUACAGCAGGAAGUAAUGACUCAAGGUGUGGUGCAGGCUGUAGUGAGACACCGAUUACAAAAGUUUGUUUGAUAGGUUUACAUUGCUGUGAUGAUUUGACUCCUGCCACGAAGUCAACUCUUUCAUACCGUCACCUGUGUAGGGUCUCUACCUUGCAUCUCAUAUUGUUGCCAAAAAAUGGUGUAUUCAUCAGCCUAGAAAGAACUAGAAUUUGUGGUCAUUCUAGGAUUUUUGUCUACCUCGCUGCCUGGUGGUGCGAACUUAUUGAUGGUCCUGGGUUCAAACCCUGCCCACUCUCAUCCCCAUCAUCCUGCGGGAGGUUUGGACUGGGAAGUAAAUUAUCUUCAACUCUGAAGGAACAUCCAAAACAUAAAAUGAAGAGAAAAUGUCACCAGCAAGACACAACUAUGAGAAAGAUGAACAGCCAUAAUUAUGUCUCUACAUUUUGAAAUAGCAUUUGAUCAAUACUGUAGAUUAUGACAACCUUAAGCACUAGAGAUAUAAACAGAAUUACAGAGAUGUGGCAUACAGACAGGCAGUUGGCUCUAAGGAUCUGUCAUCUUCUUAGAAGAAAGAGAAGAGUAGUACCCCUUGUGUUGUUUUCCCUAGUCAAAGUUAUGCAGGCAUUAAAAUAGCCUUGAUUUUGAUCAAUGUACUGAUAAGUAAUAAAUGUGAAGUGCACAAAAACA